CUCCACUGAGGUUGAUCAAGUGAAUUCUGUGGGAAUGUGUUUGUUUUAAAUAUUCUAUUAGUUGUUGAUGGACUUUUAUUUAUUUAUAUGCGGUGCUGAGGAUUGAACCCAGUGCCUCACACAUCCUAGGCAAGCGCUCUGCCACUGAGCCACAACCCCAGCCCCAGCCCCAAGGGAAUGUGUGUUUGAAGUUGAGUUCAGGUAGAGCUGAGCUUUAGGACUUCAGGUCUUCCCACAAGGCAGCCUGCGUGUGUGCAUAGUACUGGCAUAUCCCCCCGUGCCGUGCAGGAAUGGGAGGCAGGUCAUGGAACAAAUGUUCCCAAAACGUGGACUGGUCCACACCCUCCAGCUUUACGGAGAAUAAUGGUGGUUUCUUCCAGUUAGAAGAUAAGGGGAUGGUAGAAGAGUUGAGGGAGAUGGCAGGCUAAGCAGAGCCCUGUUGACACAGGACUCCAGAACGCAGAGAUUCUGAUUCUGAAACAGGUUGGAAAUAGAGACAGCAGUAUUUGAAAACAGCUAACCCUUACUUAAGUGACUUAGUGGAGAGGCAGUGUGUAAAGGAAAACAGAGCUCCAUAAAUGUAAUUAUUAGUAGUACUUGUGGUGGUUUCUUAAUGAAGGGUUCUAUUGUUAGGAAAAAGCAUAAUUACCUAGAAAAAUAUGACGCUGGGAUAUUUUAAAUAUCUCCUGGGGAUGUUGACCAUUGAAACAGGAGACUGUCUUCUAAUCAAGCCAGUACCAUCUCAGCAUCAUCAGAAUAAACCAUUUUCCUACCCUGGCUUUGUAUACUCCGACUAGGAAGGGUUGGCAAUUGACUGCUCCUCUUGGGCACUAGGUAGGAAGGAGAGUCUCCUGGGUCCCUCCUUGUCUGACUUAGUCCCAAGACCCCAGAAGGAACAUAAAUGUCUCCAUGGUAACUAGAAUAAGCUGCUAGGGGGAGCAGAGCCAGGCGCUCAGGUCUAGGUAGAGGAUUGUGAGUAAUAAAGUUGGAGCUGUUUCAAGACAGCCUUUGUUCUCAGGCUGGACUCCAGCCUCUACCUGACUCAGAGCCAUAGGAAAAGGAAACUGCAGGUUUCCAUGGCCCCAAAUAAACACAGCCUGCUCAGGCCAUCUGGUGGCCUGGAUUCUAGGAGAAGUGAAGGGAGAGAGAAGAAUGAAACAAGCUGCCCUGGGGCUCGGGGGAAGCAGCUGGUAAGCUCCUUUCACCUGCUGCCACAGGGAACCAUCCAGAAUGAGGCCCUUUUGGAGAAAAUGGGCCAAGAAUGAGGAAGAAGAAAUAAGGAUAGGUAGAAAGGAGACCAUCAGAAAAGGGGGAAAAAAUCCCCACUUGGGUGUGGUUGCAGAUGUCUGUAAACUCAGCUACUGGGAGGCUCAGGCAGGAGGAUAAGGCAGUUUGAAGUCAGCCUCCGCAACUUAGACCAUGUAUCAAAAUUUUAAAGGCAGUUGGUGGUAUAGCUCAGUGGCAGAGUGUCCCUCGGUUUUCAGUCCUUAGUAUCACAGAAAAAAAGAAAAGAAAGUGUAACUUUAAGAAACUCCAUGAACACCCUUAUCUUUGCUCCCCAGGCUGGUUUUCCUCCAGACCUAAAUUCCUAAAAGGCCCCUGGAUCUUAAGAGUAUUGUGAGUCCAGUUAAUUAAUGCCAAUAUACAUUGCUUGCUUACACAACAUUUUCUUUAGCCCAGGGAGAAAUAAUGGGUAUGUUUCAAAUGUUAUCUAUUAACUAGAUAAUGUCAACCUAGAGAUCCUGAAAAGAACCAGAUCACCAUGACCUACCCUGUGCUCCAUGGUUAAAAGAAUUGAGCUCACCAGACAUACCUCUUCUCUUUACUCUUUACAAAAUUUCCUUUAAAAAAAAAAGUGGGGCUGGGGUUGUAGCCCAGUGGUAGAGAGCUUGCCUAGUGUAUGUGAGGCCCUGAGUUUGAUCCUCAGCACCACAUAAAGAUAAAUAAAUAAAAUAAAGGUAUUGUAUCCAUCUACAACUUCAAAAAAUAUUUUUAAAAAGAGUGCUGCAGAGUGCAGUGGCACACACCUGUAAUCCCAGUGACUCAGAAGGAUCACAAAUUCAAAGCCAGCCUCAACAACUUAUUGAGACUCUGUCUUACAAUAAAAAAUAAAAAGGGCUGGGGAGGUGGUAAAGCACCCCUGGGUUUAAUCCCCAGUACCACACUCUGUGCCUUUGAGUGUGCUUUCCUGAAUAAAUUUGUGAUUGUGCCUUUUUCUAAUGUAUCCUGAAUUUUUUUUUCUGCAAAGUAUGUCAAGAGCCUGCAGGGACCAAGUUGAGGUCUCCUCUCUUCUGGGCGAACUUCUGAGACUUCCAUUUGGUGACAAGAGGGACCACCGGUUUCCCAAGAAAAGCAGCCCUGGGGUAGAAAAUCCAGCUCCACUGGACCCUUUUCCUUUCUUCCCUGAGGGGAUGGACAGCGCACAGCAUGAGUGAGUGGGCAGAACUGCUGCCUUCUUUCUGGAAGCUACUUCCUUUGCCACCACCACUUGGCUCCCUGGUCCCUGAAAACAGCCAGGAUUUGCAGGCAGGGCUGAGACAGGGCUGGCUGGCUGAUUUCCUCACUGCAGUGGCUCAGUGUAUUUGGGUUGGCAGUGGGAAGAUUGCCAGAUCAGGGAAGAAGAGAGCCUGAGAAACGUGACACGGUGUCAUGAUGGUGAAAAGGCCACCAUGAGAUUUUUUUUUUUUUUUUUUUUGGUACUGGGGUUGAACUCAGACAAUGCAGGCCCCCAGGUGGGGAAAGAGGGGGAAAGGCAGGUUAAAAGCCAAGGAGAGAAGGUAGCUGGAUACAGGCCUCGAACAGCUUCCUUUGCUUCCCACAUGAUGGCUCUUUGUGUGAGCUAUAAUGUGCCCUCAUGCCACUGGAGACAGGUGACAACAGGAUGGGAAAUCCUGGAGCCCCUGCAGGCUGCCCAUGUAAACCAUCCAUGCUGUUCAACUGAUGUAGGCACCAGUUUGGGACCCAGCUCUGGGCUCCCUUACCAUACCUUCCUCCCUCCUUAAGAGCAGUGAGCAAAAGCUUGCUCUUUACCCACGGCCCCUGCUGGUCCCUGUGUCUACUCCCAAAGAAGACUUUGGAAGCUUUUCCACAGAUGCAGUUCAUGGGCCACAGAGCUGCAUUUUUUCUCUAUUUGAAAAUGGGAGAGUGGAGAAGAUGGCAAGAAAAUGAACCCUAAAACGCCCAGUACAUUUUCUUCUCCAAUUCUGGAGUCACCCAUGCCACAGACAGUACUGGACUGCAAGAGGGACCAGCAGGAUCUGCAGGGCAGGGGGCAAUCUACCGUGUGUGGGGGUGCAAGGUGGCUGGGUGGCGUACACAGCAUGAGGUAACAGCAGAUUUCCCAAGGUGCUCCUCUUACCCAAACCUUCAGGUAUGUUUCCAGGCCUCAGAUAUCUGAGUUUGGGCAGCAAUUCUCAAGUUCCAGGAGGUCAUUACCAGAUUUGAAGAGGACAGUGUGGGCAUGGGAACUUCUAAAAAGGACACAUGCUAUCACUGUGCAUUGAAGAAAGAGAAAACCCAUGGACUGAUUACACCUUCCACACCGGAGCACAGCGGCAUGACUGGUGACACUGGCUCUCGAUGAACAUGGAGAUGCUAUUUAGAGAUGUUUGGAUGCUGAUCACAGAGAGGAGACGCUGGUCGGCGGCUACAGAGCUGGGGAGCAAACAGGCCAGAGCUUACCCCUUCCCCCAGAUGACAGAGACAUACGGAGGGCUAGGAACUGCCCAGCCCCAAAAGACAAAAGGUUCCAAGUUGCACAAACAGAAGACCAGCCGCCAGCUCACAUCACAGUGCCGCCCAGAACAAGGUUUGAGGGAUGUCAGGUAUGCUUGUUAAGAAACCCCUUUACCCAUUAGAAAUAAAUAAGGCAUGAAGGUUCCCGCUGGGCUCCCAGCACAGAAGCCAGAGCCACCGCCUUCCACUGGAUUGUAUGGCUCCUUCAAUUUCUAGGGUCUCAGGAAGGAUGACUGAAGAACAAGAAACCCUGAAGGACUGCUGAGGACAAGCUGGGGACCUGGGCAUCUCUUAGCUGAAACUUGACUAAGACUCUGAAGUCUUAAACCAAAAGAUUGAACCUCUGACCCAGCUGGGGCUUCAAAUACCCUCCACAAAGUUGGGAGGUCCCUCCAUGAGCUGUCCCGGGAGAUGGGCCGCGAGGUCUGCACGCCGGUGUGCCGCACACCAGCCCCGUGUUGCCGGCACUUGCUCAGCAGCUCCUCGUACUUCUCCAGCAGCGCGUGAUACUGCUCAUCCACCUCCCGCAGGAUGGACAUGCCCCGCCGGCGCACGCUGUUGGCGUGCAGCGUGAGGUUGCCUGCGUGCCUGCUGGCUGGGUCUUUGGCCACAAUGGCAUUGAGAGCCGUGUCGCUGCAGCUCUUACGCACCGCGUGGCCGGGGGAGGCAGCAGGUGAGGAGACACCGUCCUGGGCACCAGAGUCAUCUCCGAUGCCCGGCUGGGGAUCGUCAGAUUCAGGGGCCUGGGUGAGGGGUGCCAGCAAGGCCUCAGCCAGGUGGUCAUCCCGGCCCAGCAGGUAGGUCUUGGCUUGUUUCAUCUGCUGCAGCUCCAGCAGCUCGGCCUCCAGCUCCUGCACGCGCAGGCGGCAGCCCUCCAUCUCACACAGCUGCCGCUCCAGCUCGGUGUACUCCUGCAGCACCGCAGUGUACUCGCGCUCUGCCCGCUCCUUGCGCUGCCGCUCCUGGCUCACCUGGGAACGCAGCACUCCCACCAAGGUCUGCAGCCUCUCGUUCUCCUGCUCCAGGGGCCGAGGGCCCAGCUCCAGGGAGGAGCUGUGCAGGCGAAAGGCAUCCUCGCACCUGGGAGAGGAGUGAGGGUAGGUGGUCAUCUCCAAAGCUCCCAAGCCCAGGCUCAGACACUUACACCUUGCUUCUGCCUGGGCUGUCUCUGCUGUCUGCUGCUGCCCACCCUACUCUACCAUCCCCCCGGGGGUGGGGGGGUGGGGCACCACUACGGACAGCCUCAGCCAGGGCCCCUGCUCUCCUAAGCCCAGCAAAGGGAGGCACCCAGCAAGAUGCAAAGUGUGUGGCCAGGGGCCUCCUCAGGCUUUUUCCUCUGUUGGUGCCAGCCAGGUAGUAAUCCAUCUCCCUUCCCCUGGCCCCUCAGCCGCUCUGUUGCAACCCUGGGGUGCUGCGGUUUUCAUAACCUUGCUCUUCUUUAUUAAACGCCCCCUCCAUUACUCUGUGCAAAGACCAUUACUGAAACACACACUAAACACGCAGUCUGUUCCCUGCCCCACCUCUGGUGCUGGGGAUGGAACCCAGGGCAUUUCCAGUGGUAGGCAAGUAAGUGCUCCACCACUGAGCUACACACCAGCCCUGUAUUCUUUUUUUUUUUUUCUUGUGGCACAGGGGAGUGAACUCGGGGCGCUGGACCACUUAGCUAUAUCCCUAGCCCUAUUUUUGUAUUUCUUUUAGAGGCAGGGUGUCACGGAGUUGCUUAGCACCUUGCCCUUGCUCAGGCUGGCUUUGAAUUCGUGAUUCUCCUGCCUCAACCUUCCAAGCUUCUGGGAUAACAGGCAGGUGCUACCACGCCUGGCCAACCCUCUAUUCUUAUAUUAACCCAUUUGGUCCCAUCAUCCCAGACGUAGAAUGUCUAUAAAAACUUAAAUAUAGUAUACAAUAAUAAUACAAUUACUUUAUACCGUAAUAAUUAAAAUAUAUUAAUUAAGGUCAAUCAAAUAAUAAUAUACAUAGGCUCUAGAUUAUUAUUUCCAACCUAUUUUAAUACACCAGCAUCAAUUUCACUGAAAUAUUCACAGAAUUGAAAACUUGGGACUUAAUGGGUUAAAUGAUCAUUGAUCUCAGAUUUAAUGAGAUCUGAAAGGUACGGUGUUUAACCCAUAUUGGGUUAGAACCCUGACCAUGCCUCUUAAUAGGAGACCUUGGAUAAGAUAUGUAACCUCUGAGCUUCAAUUUUCUAGUCUAAAUAAUAGGAUAAUAAAAUAAUACACUUCAGAGUAGACAAUGAGAAUUAAGCCAGUAGCGUAGUGGUACACAGCCAGUGCUCCAUAAAUGCAGCUGCUGUGAUUGUCGCAAUAGUCUCCCAUGGCCUGGACAAGGCACCAGCCUUCCUUCCCACCUGCCUCUUAUCCCAGCUACCUACCGCGGGCUGGUGCACAGCUCCUUGAGGCAGGGGAAGGUGUGGAUGGUGCGCCUGCGUUCCCGCUUCUCCCGGCGCACGCGCAGCUGCUCCAGGUCGCGCAGCUGCUCUACCUGGGCCUGCAGCUCCUCCACCUGGGCCUGCAGGCGCUCGAUCGUCUCUGUCAACCUGGCGUGGGGUGGACACAUACAUAGGAAAAGUUUUAAAGGGAUGGGGUGGCCCUCACUGCAGCCCUGGAUCCCUGCAGAUGGAGGGACAUGGGGUUGGGCACUGACAGGUCACUUUGAACCUUGCUCCUUGGUGCUGAGGUCAGAUGGGGAACUGUCUGCAUCCCAGAGGAGACGCCCUUUCUCACACCUCCCAGGCCAAGCUGAUCACUCUGAGCUACCCUAGUUCCUUGUACAGGCCUCUGUCACUUAUCAUCCUGCUCCACAGUACGAUAUUUACACAUCUGCCUCCCCCCCCCCCAGCUGGGGACUCCAAGAGGCAAGACAGUGUACCCCACAACCUGUGUACCCCGCCGUGGUAUCCCCAGAGUCUAAAACCCAGCCUGGUGCCUACUUGAUGCUUAAAGAAGGGUUGCAGGCCAAAUGUUAAACCAUGCAAGAUGGACGUGGACAAACUCACUACCAUCUGGGGCCCCUCGGCCUGGGCCUCCAGCCGCACCAGCCCCUGUGCCCUCGUGCUCCCAGCCCUGGGCCUCUCCCUCACCCGCAGCCUCAGCCCAGCCCUCACCCAUGGAUCUUCUGCUGGGCGGCCUUACUAUCCAGCACCAGCCUCUGGUUGGUCAGCUCCAGGUCCCGGGCUGUCAGGUCCAGCUGCUCAUACACUUUGGCGUGCUGCUCGUUCACGUGCCGCAGUGUGUCCAGCUGCUUGGUCAGGUACUAGGGGAGAGGGGGAAGUUGGAGCCGACUUUUAGAGCAGGGCAGGGGGAAGUGUCUGUCUUUGCAUUCCUCCCCACCCUAGGUACAGUUUUGUUUGGAGGUAUUUGUCUUCAGUUGAGUAGGCAUAGAGUCAGUGGAGCAACGGAGCUGCGUGGAAUAGUUGUGCAGGUUGUGAACUGCCCAAGGCUGUUGGACCAAGGCUGUGUCUGUUAAGAGGGUCCCUUUGGCAAAGUUGCACAAAGACAUACCCUUGAUGGCGGAGGAAAGCAUGUCCAGGGCCCGAGGCCCCUUACCUCGAUCUCCUGCACUUGCUCCUCGUUGGUGGAGUACAUCUGCUGCAGGGACUCCUCCAGUUCCUUGUUCCUCUCCAGCAGGGUCUUCCCCAGCUCUGCGGCCAGGUGCAAGUCUGGGGAGGUGGAGGGCGGGGAACACAGCAGUGUGAGAGAGGGCCGCCAUUCACCUCUCUCACUCAUUCUGGGCUGGGUCCCAGAACUCCAAGGCCACCACAACACAGACUGCCCUAAGGGAGUCUCAUGGAGGCCAGGAGCUAAGUCUUGCAUUGCUGCCACUUACAUCUUAAAUGUCCUUUCCUCAGACAUACCCUGUGUCCUCCUUCAAGUCUGUGCUUAGUCACCUUCUGGCGGGGGUGGGGGGGUGUCUUUCCGCAAACACGUGAUUUCAAGUCACAGCCUCCCUUGCCCCACAAUCUCUCCUCCACUUAAUUUUUCUCUUUAGCAUCAUCUAACUUACCAAACAAGAUGCUCAUUGAUCUAGUUCAUUUCUGCUACUGAUUUUGAACUUAUGAGACAGGAAUUUUUAAAAUUGACUAUCUCCAGACAACACCUGGUACAGAGCAAGUGCACAACAAAUUUUUUUCAAAAGAACGAGUAAUUGAAAUAUGCUAAGUGCAUUUCUUUUCCUUUUUUUUUUGGUGCUGGGAAUUUAAACCCAGGGGUGCUUUACCACUGAGUUACAUCCUCAGGCCUUUUUCUUUCUUUUUUUUUUGUUUUGUUUUGAGACAGGGUGUUGCUAUGCUGUUAAGGUUCUUGCUAAGUUGCUGAGGCUGGCCUUGACUUGCAAUCCUCCAGUCUCAACCUCUUGAGUAGGUGGGACUACAGGCAUGCACCAUCAUGCCUGUACCAAAUGCAUAGAUAAACAUAGGGGCAAAGUGCCCUGGGACAACAGGUAAGAGAGCUUCACUGUUCCUGGGGAUGGAAGGAGGCUCAGACAAAUGGGCCACUUUCAGGUUUUCUGUUUUGUUUGGUACUGGGGUUUGAAUCCAGGGCCUUAUGUAUGCUAGGCAAGUCAGUUGGGUUUUGAAGGGUGAGUAGGAACUUCCUGAGAUGCAGAGAGGACAGGCUACUGGAUUUGGGUGAAGAUUCAGAAUUUCUUUUUUCUUUUGGUACUGAGGAUUGAACCCAGGGGUGCUUAACCACUGACCAACAUCCUCAGCCCUUUUUUACAUUUUACUUAGAGACAGGGUCUCAUUGAGUUGCUUAUGGCCUUGCUAAGUUGCUGAGGCUAGCUUUGAACUCAUAAUCCUCCUGCCUCAGCCUCCUGAGCCACUAGGAUUACAGGUGUGCACCACCACACCUGGUGUAAGAUUCAGAAUUCUUUGGUCUAACUUUUUCAUUUUAUGGAUGACAGGUAGGAGAGGGAAGAGUGACUUGCUCAAGGUCAUGAGCUGAUUUCAAGUGUCCUUACCCUAAUUGGUUACCAUGUGCUAGUGGCACAUGCCCCUCUCUUAAACCUUUUCCUUUUUCCCUGGGCAGCAAAAAUAUCCUCUUUCCCCAGCAGCCCUGGUUCUUGAACCUUGCUGGUAGAAAUAACCUCCCCUCUUCUUGCCCAGGUAAAUGAGCGCUAUCAGAGAGGCUGGAGAAGUUUGUCCUCUUUUUACGGGGAUGUGUAUAAGGUGAAUAAAAGAAAGUGGCAGUUACAGAAAUCCCUAAAAAUUUUUCUUAUGGAGUGUAUACCAUCCUAGAUAUUUGGAGUGUAUACCAUCCUGCCCCCACAAAUAAAUAUACUAAAUAUAUUUAUCAUUUUCAUUUCUAGAAAAAGACAGAAGGAUGAAACUAUUCUAAAAUGGAUUGCGGUAAUAGAUGCACAAAUCUUUGAACAGACUAAAAGUCACUGAAUUGUAUGCUUUCAAUGAGUGGAUUGUAUGGUGUAUUAUGCAAUAAAGCUGUUUAAAAAAAUUUUUUUAGGCAGCUUAAUCAGGAGACCAAGAUUGAUGGAAGAGAGUAAAUCGUUAAAGAGGUCCUUAAAGCAAGCUCAGGUUGUUUCAAAUGACUGUUUUCUUUCUAAAAUAGUUUCAAUGUUUUUCUUUCUUUCUUUUUUUUUAAACAUAUUUAUUUAUUUAGUUAGUUAGUUAUUGGCAGACACAACAUCUUUGUUGGUAUGUGGUGCUGAGGAUCGAACUCGGGCCGCACACAUGCCAGACGAGCGUGCUACCACUUGAGCCACAUCCCCAGCCCCAAUGUUUUUCUUUCUUUCUUUUUUCCAGUGUUUUUCUUAAGGCAUGCUUGGUGCAAAAUAAAUAAAUAGAACAGUACAGAAAGGUAAAAAAAGGUGAUUAAAAAAAUUACUUGAAAUAUACUUCAUUUGUAUGCUCUUAGAUUUAUGCCUUGGAAUACUACAAACAAAUGGAUGACCCAAGAUGGUUAUGAAAGAAGAAUGUCAUUUGCUAGUAAUUAAAAUUACACUUUGUGUGCAUGAGGAGGAAGGAGAAGAAGAAUGGAGUGGGAGAAAAAAGAGAAUGUACCAGAUAAAAGUGCUCUCACCAUCCUCCCAAACAGUUCUCUGUGCUUAAAAUAUGUAUAGAUACAGUUUUAUGUGAACAGAGUCAUAUUUUUUCUGUUCCUGCCUUUCUCAUUUAACCAUAAGGCAGGGGAGCUUUCCAAGUCAAUAUAGACUAACACGAGCAUUUAAAGAAGAUAUGGAAUAUUUUAUUGUAUAUAUGCUCCUAAGCAGCUGUCCCUAAAUAGUCCUUAUUGUUGGACCUUUAGGAUGUCUUCAAUUUUUUCUCUAUUUAAAGUGAAAUGAGCCAGCUGUGGUGGCGCAUGCCUGUAUUCCCAGAAGCUUGGGAGGCUGAGGUAGGAGGAUCACAAGUUCAGCCUUAGAGAGACCCUGUUUUAAAACAAAAAAAAAAAUAUUAAAGGUCUGGGCAUGUGGCUCAGUGGUUAAAUGUACCAGGGUUUAAUCCCUGCUACCAAAAAAAAAAAAAAGAAGAAGAAAAAAAGAAAUGGGUGUUAACUUUUCAUAUAAAAUCUUUGUGCAAAUCACUGCCUAUUUCUUUAGGACACUUUCCUGGAAACAGAAUUGCUGGGACAAAAUGGAGGCCUUUUUGAUUCAUUCGGCCUAAAGCAGAAAGCUUUAGUCUUUUUUACAUUAUGAUGUUUCUGAAAACAGUCCUCAAUCUAGGCUGAUGGCAUAGAUCUGGUGCAAAAUGCGUAAGGCAGCUCCACUGGGGCCGAGAUGGUGUGGUUUGGGGACUCAGCUCAUUAAUGCUUCCCUUCUUAGGCACAGUGAUAGCUCUGGGGUCCCUAGGGGGUGGAGGGGCUUUUAUUCCCUGCUGGCAGGUUUCCACUGAGCCCUGUGGUAUGCAGUGGACAGGCCUGGCCUGGUGGCCUCCUCUUGGAUAAGCCUGGAGAGCAGAAACUAGGGCUGGGAAGCUGAGAGCAGAGCCUGCGACUCACUUCCCACCAAUCUGGGUGAAAGCCAGAGGGGCCCGACCAGCCAUUGGCCUGCAUGAAAGACCAAGCUGCCCUUCAGGAACAAGUCCAGAGGAGAGGUUUUGAAACAGCCAGAGUGGAGCCCCCGUGGCAGGGCCUAAACCUGGAGAGGGCCCCACCUGAAGAUGUCCUCUGGGAAGCAGAGAACAGCUGCUGCCCUAAAGCCAGGCUGCAAUGGCAUAGUCCAGAGAAAGAAAAGCAGCUUUCCCUAAGAAAACUAAGCUAAAUUAUAUAAAUCAUAGAUAAGAACAUUUAGCCUUGAGCAAUUAACUUGCUUCUGAGGAUGCCAAGAAGAGUGGUUACCUAAUAUAAACUGGUAAGGGAACAAGAACACGUGCUGUAGUAAUUGAUAAACUGUAACUUGAGCAAAAGUCUGGAGGUGUUUACAAGGCGUGAAGUUUGAUGUAGUGAUUGGAGAACUACUGCCUUGUGUUAAGUCAUGUGCUUGGUAGGAGGUGGGAUCCCAGCGAGACCGCCCCAAGGUGGGGUGACAGUUAAUUUCUGAAAUGGGAUGGCAAGCAUUCAGCUCACCCCUGCGUGGUAGCAAGUAAUUCGGGUAUAAAUGCAAUAGAACAGAAGGCCUUCCUCCUAAAUGUCUCCCGCCUUGGAACUAUCUAUCGUUCUGUGAACAGGCCAUUGCUCUUAAUACCAGCUCUGCAUGGAGCUGCUGCAGCUGAACCAGAAUCCACAGCAUCAGAAGGGGGGUGAAGAAGAAAGGCCAUGUGCAGGUGCUUGAGGCAGAGGGCAGAGGGAACACAGUGAAUCUAAAGACCUCGCCUGUCCCAAUCACCUCCUUCCACUGGGACAGAGAGCAUCAAAGUCAAACAGGAUCUCUGUGGUCACGCUGCUGGAGAGUGAAGUCAGGACUUGCCCUGGGGCAUGGGAAACAGGCAUGGAAGGAGAGGUGGCUGAUGAGAAAACUAUUCCCAGGCCACUGCAGGCCAACAGGGAGCAACUCGGAAGAAGAGAGUUCAGGAACUGGGAGUAGGGAAGGAGGAAAGGGCCCCUGACCCCCAUGUGGCUGCUCUUUGGCUGGCCACCCUGCUCCACAUUCAGCUCUCUGUGUGCCCUUAGGGGGCAGGAAGGGGGCUAUCGCUCCAGUAGCUGCACCCAGGACUUCCUCUGUCCCCCACCCCACUUGCUUGUCUUUUUACAAGCCUCCAAGCCUUGGUACUAGCAUCCCUUCUCCCUAGAAUGCCUUCCCCUUCCUUCCUUCACUUCCUGGCUCAAAGGAGCUUUGGCAUAAACCUU